rnacentral:rRNA from 1 species
AUUGAACGCUGGCGGCAGGCUUAACACAUGCAAGUCGAGCGGGGGAAGGUAGCUUGCUACCGGACCUAGCGGCGGACGGGUGAGUAAUGCUUAGGAAUCUGCCUAUUAGUGGGGGACAACAUCUCGAAAGGGAUGCUAAUACCGCAUACGUCCUACGGGAGAAAGCAGGGGAUCUUCGGACCUUGCGCUAAUAGAUGAGCCUAAGUCGGAUUAGCUAGUUGGUGGGGUAAAGGCCUACCAAGGCGACGAUCUGUAGCGGGUCUGAGAGGAUGAUGCGGCAAACUGGGACGGAGACACGGGCCAGACUCCUACGGAAUGCAGCAGUGGGGAAUAUUGGACAAUGGGGGGAACCCUGAUCCAGCCAUGCCGCGUGUGUGAAGAAGGCCUUAUGGUUGUAAAGCACUUUAAGCGAGGAGGAGGCUACGUUAGUUAAUACCUGGAGAUAGUGGACGUUACUCGCAGAAUAAGCACCGGCUAACUCUGUGCCAGCCGCCGCCGCUG